ACCAUGGUGUUUGCUAAAUGAUAAUUUUCUGUGUCCAUCAUUCCUGCUAUAUUUAUGAAUUGAAAGAGCUCUCCUUUCUCUCUCAUUUAUUUAUUCAAUCAUGUAUUUAUCUCUCAGUGUGGCCUCAGUGUGGAUAUUUAUUUUAUACCUUGCUAUUUUUCAGGUUCAUCUUGUACAUUUGCUGUGCCUGCACAUUUCUCCAAGGAGAAUGGUAUUUAGAAGUCAACAUCUGGGCACUAGGUAAACUGACUGCCAACCAGUUGUUCAAAGUAGUUGUAACACUUUACACUCCUCCAGCGGAAUAUGAGAGUUACAGUUGCCACGGAGAUAUUCUCAAGGAGGUUAAGGUCAGUGAGUUCUCUGCAGUAAGUAUAAAAUGUUCUGUUUAGAUCUAUUUAUUUUUUGUAAGUUUGUUUUCAGUUUCUUUAUUUAUUUUGAGAGAGAGAAUCCCAAGCUCAGAGCUCAAGCCCAUGAAUGGUGAGCUCACGACCUGACCUGAAACCAAGAGUUGGAUGCUUAACCGACUGAGCCACCCAGGCGCCCCUGUUCUGUUACAUCUAAUGACCACACGAUUGGAUACUAUUCCACCAUAAAAAGGAAUGAAGUGCAGAUGCGUGCUGUGCCAUAGAUGAACCUUGAAAACAUGCCGAGGGAAAGAAGCCAAUCCCCAAAUACUUCAUAUUGCUGAUUCCAUUUACACGGUGUGUCCAGGAUCCCAUCUGGGACAUAUACUGAUGAAAUUUGAAGUGGGGUUCACGAACAAACGACUAAGAAAGAAUUUUUGACAUGUCUUCAGUGCGAACAGGAAGGCUGGGAAAAUCAUGCUCAUUUCUCGGCCAUGAUGGCUUUUGGUGAAUGAUACCCCUGGCCGGUGGACCAGACAGAGAAAGGAAGUUUCAAAGCACUGGGCAAGGAAAAUACCUCUUGACUCCUCCACUGGUGAGGCAUGGGCUGCAGCACUGAGGGAAGAGAAGUUCUACAAAAGGUAAGCAAGAGCCUGGGUUGUUUCCCGGGGCCAGACCCAACAAGACCCUGAACUUCUUGUUAAGCCGGAAGUUAGGGCCCUGGCUUCAGACCUGGCUGCUUUGAGAUGACUCCUGACCUUGGAGGGACAAGAUGCCACUUUGGCCUGGAUCCUUUUAAGUCCUGGUGGUACUACCCUGGGGGCGCAGCCAGUCCACAGACGUGGGCUGCGGAGAGAGAAAGGCCCUGUCAAGCCAAGGGCUCUGUGGUCAGUGGUGCCAUCAUGUCUGCUGAGCAAAGCUUACUGUUUUGAUUGUACUGCCUUCUGUGACUUUUCCUGUCUCUUUCUUCCUACCUGCUUGACCUCAUUCUCCCUGCUCAUCCCUUACACCAGUCAGGAACCCUACUGGGAGGCAUGACAACUGUAAACUGGGCCUGCGUGCGCCCCCCAGAAGCGGCUUUCUUUUGUGUUUUCUUGCCUUCCUUACCCUUCCUCGCCUUCCCUCCCUCUCUAUUUUAUAUCAAAUAUUUGCUUGGCUUACAACUCAUAAAAUAUCAUUUCAUUAAAUCAUGUUUUCGUUUAAGUAAGAUGGCUGUCAGGCUGAAGCUAUUUGAUUGUAUUAGGAGUCAGGAAAAUAUAAAGAAAAAUCCAUUUGGAGAAUGGAAUAACACAACACAUUUUAGUUCAGUUUCCUUGGUUUUUCUUUUAAUGGCAUUAUAGAUCUCCAAGUAUAAUAUUGUUCCUGACAAUUCAGAACCAAUUGCUUCGAAGGGGUUCUUGGGCCCCUUUGCCUGUGAGCUGACACCCCCUCCCUCUGGUAACGCCCUUGGGCUGUCUGAUCUUGCUCUUUUCCAUUUACUCCACCCAGCUGCCAAGUGUUCACAAUCCAACAGUUGAAAAACUGAUUCAAUGCCCAUUAUGGACUGCCUUCCAUGGGUUCUGGGAAUCCUGAGAUCAUUGAGAUGUGGUUCCUGCCUUCUGAGGACUCCUGACCUGUCUGCAGGGAUGACAGGCCUGAGCAGCCCAUUAUACUACAAUGUCUCCUACUCUCUGGUGGGGGUGUGAGGCAAUCCUGCGGGAGCACAGAGGAGUUUCUCCUUCUACCCUGGCAGGAGCUAGUCCGCCAAGUACAGCUGUGCAACACACAUAUUGCACAAAGAUGCUAAAUUUAAGUAGAAAGCGUUCACACUGCAAGCAUUUGAAUGUAGAUAUUGAUCAGGACAGUUUUCUAGCAGAUAAAAGAACAAAUCUUGAGGAAGGGGCACGUUUUUCCAAUUUCCACGAAGACACUGUCUGGGUUAGCAGGUGGCCCUGGGUGGGCAUGUGGUUGGAAGGACUGUGGACAGGAGAUGCGUUUCAUUUGGGCUGUGCUAGAGCCCAGAAGAGUUGAGCAGCCAGGCAGAGGGCAUUCUAAGCACAGGGAGCAUAAAGUGUGCCAGAGGUGGGAGAUCACAAUGCUGUACCUGGGGAAUGAAGGAGGGCUGGGUGCGGCGCCUGCAGAGUGCACAUGGUGGAGUGUGGCGGCUAUGGCCUGGAAACAUCGUUGGGAGGUACAUCAUGAAGGGUCUGGGAUAAAGUCCAAACUCUAGUAAAACAUUCCAGACCCUUCAUGAUCUACCAGCAGUUAGGUUCCAAAAGAAAGUGAUGUAAGGUAGAAGAUAAAUACAUGAGCCUCGUUCCACACAGUGGAAGUAAAAAUCUGCUGAAGGCAAGGGUUGGCAAAGGUCUACAGAGACCAGACAGAGCAUGAGUGCAGGUAGUGAGUGAAGGGGGUUUUAGACAAGAGAGGGUGACCUGGAGAGCACAGGCCCCACAGAAAUGUCGGCCUCACUCAGCUUCGGCUGACUGUUGUCAGGAAGGCCUGGAGGCCAGGUGUGACCAGGUCUCCCAAGUUUUCAUGAGAAGCUGGAAACUUGCAUAUUGAUGUACAAAUCCCCUAAGUUCUAAGUGUUGGCAAGUAACUCAGAGUUUUUAAAACACCACCUGCCAUACAAGGCAGGUCUGCGGACCAGGGUCGGCCAGCAAUCUCUGACAAUGAGGGAAGGAGGAGAAAAUUCUCAGAACCUCAGAUGAGAUGGUAAUGAGAAUUGAGUUCAUCUUUGGGCUUCAUCGCAGGGAAGACAAACAUGGACACUGAUUCUGUUCCCGGUGACGGGAAAAGAAAUGGAGGCCAAGUGUAGCAGGUGAUAUAUGGUCUCUGUGGAUAUGGAAAAAUGAGCUGACAUUAAAUAAAAUGGCUGAUGAGCAGGACUCAUGCUGGUCCUUUCGUGGCAAAGUUCUUCCCAUAAGAAUAUUUCCCUAAUGACCCUUGGGUUGGUUGUGGCAGGACUGUCUACUAGCUGGAGCCUGAAUCAGGGUCAAGUGUGUGCUGAUGCUCCAGUGCACAGCUUUUCUGAGCCUUAGCCCUUACACGUGGCUGUGACGGGCUGACUGCUACAUCUAAGAGUGUCUGUAGUUCCUGGAUUCUGACUAUGUCUCUGAUAUGUCUACUCUGAUAUGUCUAAUGCCUGUCUCACCUUCAGCCCCAGCUCGACGGGUCGUUCUUGGUCAAACACAGUCAGUACAACUCGAGUAUCCUCGGCUGUAGCCAAUGGGACCAGGAUGGGCGCUCGUAAGGGUAGCUAACCCACAAAAUGAUCUACAGGCUUCAGUAGGAUUGCCUGUCUCACGUGCCUUUCCUGAGCCUCUCUCCUUGCUCCCCUCAAUGCUGCUAUGUUCCGAUCUGGCCCUCUGGGCCAUUGUUGUUUGGUUCACGGGUGGAGACAUUAUCCCAAGCUGGAACAAACUCUCUUCUCUAGGAUUUUUGAAAUUGACCUCAAAAGAGUCAGACCUGAAGCUACACCACAUUGUAAAGUUUUAAACACACACACACACACACACACACACACACACACACACAGAAUUCUUGAGUGAAAGUGCACAUGCUCAUGGGUAAACUAGCUGAUGGUAUUUGAACCCCUACUUCCUGCUGUUUCUGAGGCUCUUGCCUUUUACAGGCCUUGGAUUUUUUAUCUAAAACGUGGGUUUUUGGGCUGAGGCCUAGGCUAGAUUGAGUUUGGGUUCUGUCACUUGUAACCACAAGAUUCCUAAGUAAUGGAGACGGGUGAGGAUCUGUUCUGUGGCUUGUGGAAAAUGCCAGAAGAGUGAAGCAGGGAACUGAAUAGCUGCAACUGAAAGGAUACCUGCUAGGAAUGGUCAGUGCACCAGCGUCCAGCGCUCCCCAGGGAAACCUUUUCUCACUCCUUCAGCGAAGGCAUUAGGUGGACAGGCACUAUGUGUUGUAGGAACUCAGACUCCAGGAAAUGCUAGGUUUCUGCACGUCAAAAUGAUAAGCUGUAUUUCCUAUGGUGCCUCUCGCUAGUUUCCUCAGAAAGGGCGACGCAUCAUGAUGUGUGAGGCCCAGCUCUGCCCCUUCCUGGUCAUCUGACCCCUGGGAAGCCACGCUCUCUCCGAGCUUUGGUUUCCUCAUCUGUCCAGCGAACACCUCCCUCACGGGGGCAUUCUGCAGCUGAAAUGAGGGGGCACGCAGGACAGCAGCUAGCAGUGUGCCCUCAGCUCUCUAGAAACUCAGCGAGUAUUGAUUUCCUUCCAUCCGUUAUUUCCCUGAUUGAAUGCCAUCAAGGAGCCUGUAUUGACUCUUCUCAAAGAGCCCACGAUGGGGCUGUUUAUCUACAGAGGCAUACUUCCAGAUUCAAUCCACUCAGCCAUUUCCUCUGUUUCCACCAUUUUCCCUGUGCUUCAUCACAAAGAAUUUCUGAUCGUGCGUGCGUUCCUUUUCGACCUGGAAAAAAGCAUGAUGUGGGAGUUAUUUUUAUGUUGCAGUCUUGCCUCUCCUCGCCGGAGUGAUCUUAGAAACAUGACCUUAGUGGUAAUGACGUGGAUUAAAAGCAUGUGUCCUGUAAGGGGAGGGGCGGGGGACAUAGGCAUUCUCUGCUCUGGAAGCUGGGCUCCCUCCUCAAAGCGUCUGCACGAAUGUUUCUCCAUCCCAGAGAUAAAGGCUACAAAAAGAAAAAACAAAAAGCCAUCAGGCAUUUUGGUUUUACCACGUUGCUGUAGUUUGAUAGUAGUUUUAUUACCUCAAUGUGUUGAGAUAGGAGAAUUCCGAGAGGGCUGUGAAACACAUUCUAGAGCUUCAGGGGCGGGAGCACGUUCUGAGCUGGCUGCUUGGUGUGUGUCUCGGGAGAGGGAGAUUCGUGUGCCAGGCUGCAGAGUGUGAUAGAGGCACUUUGCCUCUGACAGUCCCGCUCUCUGAAGGGGACGCUACAGGAGGAGACAGUGGAAAACAUUGCAGGGGACCGACAGGGCUCUGCCUUGCUUAUAAGAAGGUGCUUCCAACUCCUUUUCUUGCUCUUAAAGCAACCUGUAAGCCAAGAAGGCCGCAUAAAAUGAGGGAAAAGGAAAUGAAGUCCGUUAAUCUCCCAAGCCGGACAUUUAUUAUCCGAAAGCCAAGUGACAGCUUCGAACUGUGGCCUCAGUUCUGCAGAGAAAAAGGCUCAUGCUUCGGGAAUGGCAGGAGCCCUGGAGCUUCUCUCUGACCGGGGACACGCACUGGCCUCUUGAAAGAAGACUGGCCCUGGCCAAGUGUCAUCUCCAUGAGUACCAGCCCAAAGUUCCAGUUGCUGAAGUAGCUAUCGAUCAAAGAAUCAUGAUAAAUGAGGGCAUUGCUGUGUGUAAGAUCAAUGCUGUGGACCUCAGAAUCCAGUCUCUCGUGAGACUUCCCAGGAGCACCAAGCACUGCCUCUGUGAGAGGCAAUGCCAAGUACGGGGGAGACACUGGAUAUGGAGUCCAAGCCUAUUAGCCACCUGUAAAUCAGAGACAGUGAAAACUGCCUCCGUUCCUCAGCAUAGCAUGGCGGUUACAUGUCUGGAUUCUGGAGCUAGGUUAGCAGGGUUCAGCUGGAGCUAGGUUAGCAGGGUUCAGAUCCCACCUCUGCUGCUCACCAGCUAUGUGACCUUGGGCAGGUUACUUAACCUCUCUGUGCCUUAGUGUUUUGUAUAACAAUGGUAUCUACCUCAAAGGAUUGCGAUGCACGUCAAAUGAGUUAAUGCCGGUAAAGGGUCUAGGACAGAGUCCUGGUAGGCACAUUGUAAAUGCCGUGUUUUUUGUCAAUUAAAUUAUUUGUCAAUUACAUUCCUCCCUUAGCAUCUUGUUUUGUUUUGUUUUUCACACCAAGUCUGUUCACACCAUAUUGCAGCCGGAGACACAGGUUUAGAGGGAUAAAAGGAGUUGUCCGAGAUCAUCUGCCUAAUCAAGGUCAGCCUGAGUUCUGAAGCCCCGCCCUUUGACCCCCCCCCCCCCCCUCUGCUGUGCCCUUCCAGCUGCAGCCUUCCACCCUGCGGUCCUCUGUUACCCGGUGCCUGUGGGAAAAGUGCUCCUGAGCCAGGUCACUUGAUUCAAAUGUAUGGGUCUAUUCGGGCUAUGUACUUACCGCCUGUGUGCCCUUUCAGAGGUUUGGGUUAUUGGAGAAGACGACUCUAUUUGGGAUGGAAGUUCCAAGAAAAUGUUUCAUUUUUUCUCCCCGCCAAAAGCGGCAGCAAUAGACUCUAAGGCAGUACGGGGUGGAUUUGGCACUGAGGGCUGUUUUACAUUGUCAUUACCGCACAGGGGAUGUGGAGGCCCAGGGGUAAGAAGUGUGAAAAGCAGGUUGCUGAGUGAGGCCUGUAUGCAAAGCCUUGUUGGCCAGGUGGCAAUGACUGCAUCGGUGGGAAGGCAGAGACAUGAGGACUGACAGCGUGGCAAGCAGCAAGAUGCCGAAGGGGGAGAAGACGCGGGCAGGCGUCCAGUUUAGAGGAAGAGAAGAGCUCUCUUGGGAUACGCUUUGAGACCCUGAUGAGGACUCGCGGUGGGUCUCUGCAUUUGAAGGGCCGAAUGGGAGAUCCAAGCCUGCCUGGGGCAACUGCCCCACGUACCCAGGGAGGCACCGAAGCCCCCAGGGGUGUGGCUUGUACAAGGACCCACAGCCACGCUUCCGUGUUCCUCAGGCGACUUCCUCACGGCCAGUUGGCUUCCCAGGGACCCAGUGAUGAGAGGGGCUAGGCGCCUCAGCAGUUUUCUUUCUCGUUGUAAUCCAGUAAAGGGUCUCUUCGUUCCCCUCCCUAGGACCUUGGCAGCUCUCAGGGCGUGGGUGAGCUCUCCCAUAUCUAGUCAGCCCUGAGAUAACGACCACAUCAGCAUACAAGCUUCGGAAUGCAGACUGCCAGCUGGCAGGCCGGUCCCGGGGAUGUGUCUCAGUGUUCCUCUGAGCUACAUCUUUUCUUUUCAGAUAUCGCCCCUCUGCCUUUCCUACUGUGUUUGAGGCCAGGUAAUAACCCCAAGAGUGACGGAUACUAACAAUGGUUCUGUGUGAUUUCGGAAAGUUCCGUCUCCUCCCUAGUCUGGGCAGAGGCCAGUUAGAAGGAGCUCUAGUCCCAGAGCCCAGGUGGCUGGGCGACGAUUGGGAAAGCAGCCUGGAAGUUGUUAGAAGGCAGCCUGUGGUUGAGGUUGGGCCUCCCUCCCCUCUGGCCUGCUGUGCAGUGUGGGUGCUUCGCGGGGACACGCGACUGGGCUUGCAAAAAGCCAGCAACUGGGCACAAAGUAGGUUUCAGGAAGGCCAAAAUAUUAGAUCCAAUGGCUAUCUCUGCCUCCUUGGUCACUCUUCCCCAGAAUCCCUGUCACCCCUCUGCACAG